rnacentral:rRNA from 1 species
UACGUAGGGGGCGAGCGUUGUCCGGAUUUACUGGGCGUAAAGCGCGCGUAGGCGGAACUUCAAGUCCGGUCUGAAAGCCCCCGGCUCAACCGGGGAGGGUGGCUGGAAACUGGGGUUCUUGAGGGCGAGAGAGGAGGGUGGAAUUCCUGGUGUAGCGGUGAAAUGCGUAGAGAUCAGGAGGAACACCAGUGGCGAAGGCGGCUCACUGGCCCGGUACUGACGCUGAGAUACGAAAGCGUGGGGAGCAAACAGG